rnacentral:rRNA from 1 species
UACGAAGGGGCUAGCGUUGCUCGGAAUCACUGGGCGUAAAGGUGCGUAGGCGGGUCUUUAAGUCAGGGUGAAUCCUGGAGCUCAACUCCAGAACUGCCUUGAUACUGAGGAUCUUGAGUUCGGGAGAGGUGAGUGGAACUGCGAGUGUAGAGGUGAAAUUCGUAGAUAUUCGCAAGAACACCAGAGGCGAAGGCGGACUCACUGGC